rnacentral:rRNA from 1 species
CUACGGGUGGCUGCAGUGGGGAAUAUUGCACAAUGGGCGCAAGCCUGAUGCAGCAACGCCGCGUGAGGGAUGAAGGCCUUCGGGUUGUAAACCUCUUUUAGCAGGGAAGAAGCGAAAGUGACGGUACCUGCAGAAAAAGCACCGGCUAACUACGUGCCAGCAGCCGCGGUAAUACGUAGGGUGCAAGCGUUGUCCGGAAUUAUUGGGCGUAAAGAGCUCGUAGGCGGUUUGUCACGUCUGCUGUGAAAAUCCAAGGCUCAACCUUGGACUUGCAGUGGGUACGGGCAGGCUAGAGUGCGGUAGGGGAGCUGGGAAUUCCUGGUGUAGCGGUGGAAUGGGCAGAUAUCAGGAGGACCACCAAUGGCGAAGGCACAUCUCUGGGCCGUAACUGACGCUGAGGAGCGAAAGCGUGGGGAGCGAACAGGAUUAGAUACCCCGGUAGUC